AGAGAUUGAAGAGGAGCAGAGGAGGACUGUUGAAGAGUUGUUGAACUAGACAGUAAUUCAUCAAAGAAAAUAGCUAUGCAUUCUUACCGUGGGAUUGAUUGGGUUGGAUAUGAUAAUCCUACAACUAGUGAUGUGAAGGUUAAUUAUGCUCGAGAUAAUAGCAUGGGUGGUAUUUCUUCUUGGCGAUUGGCCAAGACAAGAAUUGGGAACUCAGUGCUCAAGAUAUCUGCAGGCUAUUAUUAUCUCGUGAUGUGGCUGUUUUUAUGGACGUACUACCAUGGUUGUAAUAUCGUUGUGAGGCGACCAUGCAUCUCAG